GUACGAGAGGACCGGGAUGGACGAACCUCUGGUGGACCUGUUGUGGCGCCAGCCGCAGUGCAGGGUAGCUAUGUUCGGUCGGGAUAACCGCUGAAGGCAUCUAAGCGGGAAACCCCCCUUGAAACGAGAACUCCCUUGAGAGCCGUGGAAGACGACCACGUGGAUAGGCUGGAUGUGCAAGCGCGGUAACGCGCUGAGCUGACCAGUACUAAUCGCUCGAUCGGCUUGAUCGCUCUCAUGAU
rnacentral:rRNA from 1 species